ensembl:lncRNA
UAGAUCUAUAUGUCAGGGUGAGAGGUGAUAGUGUGUGUAUAUGUAGAGUAGAUCUAUAUGCCAGGGUGAGAGGUGAUGGUGUGUAUAGAGUACAUCUAUAUGUCAGGGUGAGAGGUGAUGGUGUGUGUAUAGAGUACAUCUAUAUGCCAGGGUGAGAGGUGAUGGUGUGUGUAUAAGAGUACAUCUAUAUGCCAGGGUGAGAGGUGAUGGUGUGUAUAGAGUACAUCUAUAUGUCAGGGUGAGAGAUGAUUGUGUGUAUAUGUAGAGUACAUCUAUAUGUCAGGGUGAGAGGUGAUAGUGUGUGUAUAUGUAGAGUACAUCUAUAUGUCAGGGUGAGAGGUGAUAGUGUGUGUGUGUAUAUGUAGAGUACAUCUAUAUGUCAGGGUGAGAGGUGAUGGUGUGUGUAUAGAGUACAUCUAUAUGUGAUGGCGUGUGUAUAUGUAGAGUACAUCUAUAUGUCAGGGUGAAAGGUGAUGGUGUGUAUAUGUAGAGUAGAUCUAUAUGUCAGGGUGAGAGGUCGCCAGACAGACGCACGGACCGACAAACAGGGCUGACAGACAUCAGCCUCUGAAAGCCCUCGCGGGUCUAGCCUGCGACCCCUCUCAC